rnacentral:misc_RNA from 1 species
UGCCCAUUCUCAUUUUCAAGAUUCCUUCCUGCAUUGAUAAAUAAUGCUUCUUCCUUGACUGAUCUGAUGGCUUUUUUUGCUAGCUUGUCUAAUAUGAAUCCCUACUUGCCUUCAAAAGUGCUUCCUCCUGGCCUAGCCCUCCCUGAAGGAACUACUGAUACACUGCCUUUAAAAGAACUCGCUGGCAAAAGCACAGGAUUAGUUAGUAAAGGCUUAA